UACGAAGGGGGCUAGCGUUGCUCGGAAUCACUGGGCGUAAAGGGUGCGUAGGCGGGUCUUUAAGUCAGGGGUGAAAUCCUGGAGCUCAACUCCAGAACUGCCUUUGAUACUGAAGAUCUUGAGUCCGGGAGAGGUGAGUGGAACUGCGAGUGUAGAGGUGAAAUUCGUAGAUAUUCGCAAGAACACCAGUGGCGAAGGCGGCGAUCUGGGAAGAUACUGACGCUGAGGUGCGAAAGCGUGGGGAGCAAACAGG
rnacentral:rRNA from 1 species